rnacentral:rRNA from 1 species
GAUGAACGCUGGCGGCGUGCCUAAUACAUGCAAGUCGAGCGAACGGACGAGAAGCUUGCUUUUCUGAUGUUAGCGGCGGACGGGUGAGUAACACGUGGAUAACCUACCUAUAAGACUGGGAUAACUUCGGGAAACCGGAGCUAAUACCGGAUAAUAUUUUGAACCGCAUGGUUCAAAAGUGAAAGACGGUCUUGCUGUCACUUAUAGAUGGAUCCGCGCUGCAUUAGCUAGUUGGUAAGGUAACGGCUUACCAAGGCAACGAUGCAUAGCCGACCUGAGAGGGGGGUAGGCCACACGGGACCUGGGCCAGGGCCCAGACCCCUAGGGGGGGCAGCAGGGGGGAUUCUUCCGAAAGGGGGAGAGGCCUGAGGGAGAAGGGCCGGGGGAGUGAUAAAGGUUUCCGGAUCUUAAACCUUUUUUAUAGGGAAAAACCAUAUGUGAAAGAAACUGGGCACUUCUGGAGGGAACCAAAUAAAAAAGCCACGGCAAAUUACGCC